GAUGAACGCUAGCGGCAGGCUUAACACAUGCAAGUCGAGGGGUAAAUAUUUAGCUUGCUAUAUAUGAGACCGGCAAACGGGUGCGGAACACGUACACAACCUACCUUUAUCUGGGGGAUAGCCCAUAGAAAUGUGGAUUAAUACCCCAUAGUAUAUUUGAUUGGCAUCAAUUGGAUAUUAAAGUUUUUCGGAUAGAGAUGGGUGUGCGUAAGAUUAGCUAGUUGGUAAGGUAACGGCUUACCAAGGCGACGAUCUUUAGCUGAUGUGAGAGCAUGAUCAGCCACACGGGCACUGAGACACGGGCCCGACUCCUACGGGAGGCAGCAGUGAGGAAUAUUGGUCAAUGGACGGAAGCCUGAACCAGCCAUGCCGCGUGAAGGAUGAAGGCGUUCUGCGCUGUAAACUUCUUUUAUUUGAGAAGAAACCACUUUUUUCUAAGAGUGUUGACGGUAUCAGAUGAAUAAGCACCGGCUAACUCCGUGCCAGCAGCCG
rnacentral:rRNA from 1 species